UGGAAGUUAAAAUCGUAACAAGGUUUCCGUAGGUGAACCUGCGGAAGGAUCAUUACAGA
rnacentral:rRNA from 1 species